rnacentral:rRNA from 1 species
UGGGGAAUAUUGCACAAUGGGGGAAACCCUGAUGCAGCAACGCCGCGUGAGUGAUGACGGUCUUCGGAUUGUAAAGCUCUGUCUUUAGGGACGAUAAUGACGGUACCUAAGGAGGAAGCCACGGCUAACUACGUGCCAGCAGCCGCGGUAAUACGUAGGUGGCAAGCGUUGUCCGGAUUUACUGGGCGUAAAGGGAGCGUAGGUGGAUAUUUAAGUGGGAUGUGAAAUACCCGGGCUUAACCUGGGUGCUGCAUUCCAAACUGGAUAUCUAGAGUGCAGGAGAGGAAAGGAGAAUUCCUAGUGUAGCGGUGAAAUGCGUAGAGAUUAGGAAGAAUACCAGUGGCGAAGGCGCCUUUCUGGACUGUAACUGACACUGAGGCUCGAAAGCGUGGGGAGCAAACAGG